AGGAGGUGUGUAUUGUAGAUGUACCUCAUCCUUGGGUAUUUCUAAUUGAGGAUCUUCUUGUGGUUCCACCAUAGGUUUUUCUGGAUUGGUUUGUAGAUCAUAAACUUUUAUAAGUUCAAUAAUCCUCUCACUACCUCUUUCUUAGAAGAAUUUAUUUUCCAAGAAAGUGGUAUACCUACUAACAGAUAUCUUUUGUUCAGUAGGGUGGUAGGAGCAAUAU
rnacentral:lncRNA from 1 species